GUGGGGAAUUUUGGACAAUGGGCGCAAGCCUGAUCCAGUCAUGCCGCGUGCAGGAUGAAGGCCUUCGGGUUGUAAAGCCCUUUUGUACGGGAAGAAAUCAUUCGGGUUAAUACCCUGGGCUAAUGACGGUACCGUAAGAAUAAGCACCGGCUAACUACGUGCCAGCAGCCGCGGUAAUACGUAGGGUGCAAGCGUUAAUCGGAAUUACUGGGCGUAAAGCGUGCGCAGGCGGUUUUGUAAGACAGGCGUGAAAUCCCCGGGCUCAACCUGGGAAUUGCGCUUGUGACUGCAAGGCUGGAGUGCGGCAGAGGGGGAUGGAAUUCCGCGUGUAGCAGUGAAAUGCGUAGAUAUGCGGAGGAACACCGAUGGCGAAGGCAAUCCCCUGGGCCUGCACUGACGCUCAUGCACGAAAGCGUGGGGAGCAAACAGGAUUAGAAACCCUAGUAGUCC
rnacentral:rRNA from 1 species